GAUGAACGCUAGCUACAGGCUUAACACAUGCAAGUCGAGGGGUAACGAGAGGAAAGCUUGCUUUCCUUGUCGACGACCGGCGCACGGGUGAGUAACGCGUAUCCAACCUGCCCCCAACUAGGGAAUAACCUUGCGAAAGUAAGACUAAUACCCUAUAAUUUCCUCAGAUGACAUCUGACGAGGAAUAAAGAUUUAUCGGUUGUGGAUGGGGAUGCGUCUGAUUAGCUUGUUGGCGGGGUAACGGCCCACCAAGGCAACGAUCAGUAGGGGUUUUGAGGGAAAGGUCCCCCACAUUGGAACUGAGACACGGUCCAAACUCCUACGGGAGGCAGCAGUGAGGAAUAUUGGUCAAUGGGCGGAAGCCUGAACCAGCCAAGUAGCGUGCAGGAUGACGGCCCUAUGGGUUGUAAACUGCUUUUAUACAGGAAUAAAGUUAGCCACGUGUGGUUAUUUGUAGGUACUGUAUGAAUAAGGACCGGCUAAUUCCGUGCCAGCCGCCGCUGUAA
rnacentral:rRNA from 1 species